UUAUCAAUACAUCAUCAAUACAUUAUCAGUAACUGUCAUCAGAGAGAUCGUUACCACCAUCCCAACUAUUUAUCAAUCUAUUAAUCAAUCAAUUCAAUCAAUCAGUUGUAUUUAUAAAGCCCAAUAUCACAAAUCACACUUUGCCUCACAGGGCUUUACAGCAUACGACAUCCCUCUGUCCUUAUGACCCUCACAGCUGAUCAGGAAAAACUCCCCAAAAAACCCUUUAACGGGGAAAAAACGGUAGAAACCUCAGGAAGAGCAACUGAGGAGGGAUCCCUCUUCCAGGACGGACAGACGUGCAAUAGAUGUCGUACAGAACAGAUCAGCAUGAUAAAUUAACAGUAAUCCACAUGACACAAUGAGACAGAGAGAGAGAGAGAGAGAGAGAGAGAGAUGCAGGUAAUGACAGUAGCUUACAACAACAUUAUUGAAAGUAAUAAUAUUAUAGUUAUAGUUCUGGCUACUGCGGUACAAUAUGUUGAAAGUAUGGCAGUAUACAGUAUAAAGAAGAGGAACAACAGCUGUUAGCAGUUAGCAGCUAACUCACAGAGGAAGAAGAACAAUAGCUGUUAGCAGUUAGCAGCUAAGUCAAAGAGGAAGAAGAACAACAGCUGUUAGCAGUUAGCUAACUCAGAGAAAGAAGAACAAUAGCUGUUAGCAGCUAAGUCAAAGAAGAGGAACAACAGCUGUUAGCAGUUAGCAGCUAACUUGAAGAACAGCAGUUGUUAGCAGUUGACAGCUAAGUCAAAGAAGAAGAACGGCAGCUGUCAGCAGUUAGCAGCUAACUCAAAGAAGAGGAAGAAGAACAGCAGCUGUUGGCAGUUAGCACCUAACUUUAGAAGAACAGCAGCUGUUAGCAGUUAGCAGCUAACUUAAAGAGAAGAACAGCAGCAGUUAGCGACUAACUCAAAGAAGAACUCGUAGAAAAGACAGCUGCAGACCCAGGGUUCAGCUCACAGUAACUUCAUACAACAGUCUUUUUGAUAUCUAAAAUUGGCAAAAAAUGUUGUCACACAUUUCCGAUGCAUUGUUGGAGUUAUGAGCAAACCUUAGCUCGGAGAGCUAACAGGGCGUCUUCACUGUGUUAUGUGAAUGCCGAUGUCACUGAACGUGUUGUGGUGAGGUGAGGGUAGUAAAAAGUACGCUUGCAACGAUUAGUCGACUAAUCGAUGACUAAUCGACUAAAAAUAAUCUGACUAUUAUAGUAGUCGACUAAUUGAUUUGAUUCUUUUUUUUUUUUUUUUACAGAAAAGUACUAUAAAAGUACCCAAAAUACUCUUAUUGCAGCUUCUUAUGUUCAAAUAUCGGCAGCUUUACACACUCUCCAAUGACGGUGAACUUAAGUACGAAACAAAACAUUAGAUGACAUCAUUUUGGGGUUUGGGAGAGACAGAUCAACAUUUUUCAACAUUUUAACAUAUGUUUCGUUAGUUGCAGCCCUAGUAUCAAGGUGCUGAGGUAUAACCACAUGUGUGAUAUUUAAUACUGUCAACAAUGUUCCUCUGUCUGUUAAACUGACACAGAGGGGUGUGUGUGUGUGUGUGUGUGUGUGUGUGUGUGUGUGUGAGUGA